CCAAUAGCGUAUAUUAAAGUUGUUGCAGUUAAAAAGCUCGUAGUUGAAUUUCGGGACUAAUAUGUUGGUCGUGCUUUUGUACGUACUGGCAUUAUUGGUUUCUACCUUCUGAAGAACCGCGAUGUCAUUAAUUUGGUGUCGUGGGAAAUCAGGACUGUUACUUUGAAAAAAUUAGAGUGUUUAAAGCAGGCUCACGCUUGAAUACAUUAGCAUGGAAUAAUGAAAUAGGACGUUUGAUUCUAUUUUGUUGGUUUCUAGGAUCGACGUAAUGAUUAAUAGGGAUAGUUGGGGGCAUUAGUAUUCAAUUGUCAGAGGUGAAAUUCUUGGAUUUAUUGAAGACUAACUACUGCGAAAGCAUUUGCCAAGGAUGUUUUCAUUAAUCAAGAACGAAAGUUAGGGGAUCGAAGACGAUCAGAUACCGUCGUAGUCUUAACCAUAAACUAUGCCGACUAGGGAUCGGAUGAUGUUAAUUUUUUAAUGACUCAUUCGGCGCCUUAC
rnacentral:rRNA from 1 species